rnacentral:pre_miRNA from 11 species
UGGUGGUGGCCUGGUGGUCGUAUGUAUGACGUCAUUUACUUCAAUGUUUGGAGUGACAUCAUAUGUACGGCUGCUAAACUGCUACAUGGGAC